rnacentral:rRNA from 1 species
GACGAACCGUGCAAACAUUGUUCGGAAUCACUGGGCUUAAAGGGCGCGUAGGCGGGCGGUCAAGUCAGGGGUGAAAUCUUUCGGCUCAACCGGAAAAGUGCCCUUGAUACUGGCUGUCUGGAGGGAGGUAGGGGCGUGCGGAACUUCCGGUGGAGCGGUGAAAUGCGUAGAUAUCGGAAGGAACACCGGUGGCGAAAGCGGCGCGCUGGACCUCUACUGACGCUGAGGCGCGAAAGCCAGGGGAGCAAACGGG